CGGGAGACGGAGGGCGAGGGAGGAAGGGAAAGGGCCACGCUGCCUGUCGGUAGAUGUAGUUUCUUUGACACCUCUGGAGAGAAAGAAAGGGCGCUCGCUGGGUGCGUGUCUGAGCGGAGCUGUCGAGGUGGCUCGAGGGGUAGAGAGAGCGAGGUCGCCUGGCACAAACUACUUGGCGAGUCUGUGGUCACAGGACCUGGUACGUAGGCGCAGAGGCGACGUCGUGGGCGUGUCGACGGCAGAUGUCUGUAGCUGUCCCGAGGAACGUCUCUACCAGCGGGUUAGAGUUGGGAGGCUCUGCCCGUCCGCUGAUUGACAUCUUAGGAAAAGGAUCUUAGCGUUUCCAGCUCUGGGCAGACUUGAAUAGCACCCCUCCCCUCGCUCUACACUCCCUCCUCCCUCUUUCUUCCUCCCCCUCUCGUUAUUCUAGACAAGAUGUUCAGCUCCUUAGCCUGGACUGGCCUUGAAUUCGCAGUACUCCUUCAUGAAUGUUCCUAGGAGCGUUCAUAUGUAUGAAAAGAGGUCGGAGGCUGAGGCAGGAGGAUUGCCACAAGUUUUAGGCUAGCCUGGGCUACAUAGCCAGUUUUAGAGUAGCCAGGUCUACACAUUGAGCCAAGCCCCAGGCUCAAACCAAAACAAACAGACGACAUGUUUUGUUUGUUCUUUAAGGCGCCAGCACUAUGUGGGGCAGACUGGCUUGGAACUCUUGGAGGUCUUGUCUUCCUGCUGGGAUUACAGACAUGAACCACAGGAGAGGAUCGCUUUGAGCUGCGGAAUCUCCUUCUAUCCAGUCCGAAUGUGGUGUUCUGAUGGCAUAUGACCUUGAAGGGCGGUUUGCUCCUUCCAGCGUCACCCUCUGGUCUGGACCCACCUCCUCUGACGUAGGAGACAGCUGCUUGGAGUGAAGUGUAAACUUGUCUAUGUACUGACUUUUAUGGCCUGAUGGUACUUCCAUCAUGGAGUUGGCGAUGCUAAGGUCUGGGGGUCUAUUGUUACAUUAGAAGAAUGAAAACCAGUCUAAAGAAAGACAAGGCAAGUCAUGCUUGGUUCUGCACACUUAGGCUCUCAGAACUCAGCAUAAAUUUCAGGACAGUCUAGGCUACAUAGUGAGUUUGAAGCCAUUGAGGGCUACAGAGUAAGACUUUGUCUUAGAGAAAUCAAAGAAAAUAAAAAGAGGAGAGGGAAGGAAGGAA